rnacentral:rRNA from 1 species
UAUCCUACGGGACGCAGCAGUGGGGAAUAUUGCACAAUGGGGGGAACCCUGAUGCAGCGACGCCGCGUGGGUGAAGAAGUCAUUCGUGACGUAAAGCCCUAUCAGCAGGGAAGAAAAUGACGGUACCUGACUAAGAAGCCCCGGCUAACUACGUGCCAGCAGCCGCGGUAAUACGUAGGGGGCAAGCGUUAUCCGGAUUUACUGGGUGUAAAGGGAGCGUAGACGGCGGCGCAAGUCCGGAGUGAAAGCCCACGGCCCAACCGUGGAACUGCUCUGGAAACUGCGCGGCUUGAGCUGGGGAGGGG